rnacentral:rRNA from 1 species
GACGAACGCUGGCGGCGUGCUUAACACAUGCAAGUCGAACGGAAAGGCCCUGCUUUUGUGGGGUGCUCGAGUGGCGAACGGGUGAGUAACACGUGAGUAACCUGCCCUUGACUUUGGGAUAACUUCAGGAAACUGGGGCUAAUACCGGAUAGGAGCUCCUGCUGCAUGGUGGGGGUUGGAAAGUUUCGGCGGUUGGGGAUGGACUCGCGGCUUAUCAGCUUGUUGGUGGGGUAGUGGCUUACCAAGGCUUUGACGGGUAGCCGGCCUGAGAGGGUGACCGGCCACAUUGGGCCUGAGAUACGGACCAGACGCCUACGGGAGGCAGCAGUGGGGAAUAUUGCACAAUGGGCGGAAGCCUGAUGCAGCAACGCCGCGUGCGGGAUGACGGCCUUCGGGUUGUAAACCGCUUUCGCCUGUGACGAAGCGUGAGUGACGGUAAUGGGUAAAGAAGCACCGGCUAACUACGUG